AAGUCGUAACAAGGUAUCCGUAGGUGAACCUGCGGAUGGAUCAUUAAGAGGUUAGCAAACAGCCCUGUUUGACAAACCACUGUGGUGCGAUGCAUGUUGUUUUGGCGGCGUGGUGUGCGUGCAAGCGCGCAUGCGCCGCCAGCAUACAAACCCAAUCAACCAAUUUUAUACUACUCAGCUGUUCUGAUUACACUAUUUCGAUAGCAUAAUCCUAUACAACUGCUAGCAACGGAUCACUCGGCUCUC
rnacentral:misc_RNA from 1 species